rnacentral:rRNA from 1 species
UACGUAGGGUGCAAGCGUUGUCCGGAAUUAUUGGGCGUAAAGAGCUCGUAGGCGGUCUGUCGCGUCGGAUGUGAAAAUCCAGGGCUCAACCCUGGACCUGCAUUCGAUACGGGCAGACUAGAGUUCGGCAGGGGAGACUGGAAUUCCUGGUGUAGCGGUGAAAUGCGCAGAUAUCAGGAGGAACACCGGUGGCGAAGGCGGGUCUCUGGGCCGAGACUGACGCUGAGACGCGAAAGCGUGGGGAGCGAGCAGG